CCCUUAGAUGUUCUGGGCCGCACGCGCGCUACACUGACGAAUGCAACGAGCUUAUAACCUUGGCCGAAAGGUCUGGGUAAUCUCCAAAUUUCGUCGUGAUGGGGAUAGAUUAUUGCAAUUAUUAAUCUUCAACGAGGCAUGCCUAGUAAGCGCAAGUCAUCAGCUUGCGUUGAUUACGUCCCUGCCCUUUGUACACACCGCCCGUCGCUCCUACCGAUUGAAUGGUCCGGUGAAGCGUUCGGACCGUGGCCUUUGGACGGUUCGCCGUCUGUUGGCUGCGGGAAGUUCGUUAAACCUUAUCAUUUAGAGGAAGGAGAAGUCGUAACA
rnacentral:rRNA from 1 species